UAGUUAGAUAUUGGUCGCUCAAAUAAUC
rnacentral:piRNA from 1 species